GCCGGCGCCAUCUCGCAGCCGCCGAGCACGGCGGCAGCAGAGUCCACGUUGGUGAGGAGGUACUCGUAGAUCUUCUUCCUGAGCCUCUCUAUCGUCUCCUCCGGCACGCCGCUGGCCGCGCCGCCGUUGGCAGUGGGUGCCGCCGCUUCGCCGUCCGCUUCCGGUGGCGGAUGCGGCGCCAUCUCUGCCGACUUCCCGAUCUCGCUCAGCCAGUCGUUGACGCGCUUAAGCUGCGGGAGCAUCCUCGCGGCGCGGUCGCGGUCCCACGGCGCGGCCGCCGCAACGUCCGCGUCCAGGAACCGCUCCACGAACGCCAGGAACCACGCCCGUGCCUCGUCCCCGAGCCGCCGCGCAAGCUCGCCCCGCUCCUCCGCGCCGCCUCCCCGCUCCCAUUCAGGCGGAGGCACUGCUGCCGCCGCCGCAGCGGCGGCGGCGGCGGCGGCGGCCGCGGAACCAGCUUUCAACCUCCCCUUCGCCGGGGACAGCCGCGACUUCGCGGGCGGCACUGCCUUCGCCGCCGCCGGCUUGGCUGACUCGUCCACGAGCACGACGGCCAGCGGGGAGAUGACACUGGCUGGGGCGGGUUUCAGGUUGUAGAGGGAGAAGGCGGAGAGAUCGGUGGCGAGGCCGGCGCCGACCCAGGAGGCUGCCCGGCGGCGGCGCUCCGCCGCGACAGCCAUGGUUUCCUCGUCGGCUGUUGACGCAUCGCCGGCUGCUGAUUGAUCUGGUGAAGUCGCGGUGGAGACCGUGGUCGUGGCCUUGGUUAGAGACUCGGUGACGAUGGUGGCUCGAGAGAUUGCUCCAUGCAGAGCGAGGAACUGCUCGACAGCCUGCUGUGGGUUCUGCUCCUCCGCCGACGAGCUCACCUCCGCGUACGAGCUGGUCAGAGCAAUACAGCGGUCAGACAAACUCAAAGUGCAUCAACGCUUCUGAUAGCGAAGCGCAUCUAUCGACUGGAGAGUGUUGAAACGGUAGCAGUUUCGGAUGCCUUAAAGGCUUAAACUACAGAUAAAUCUGUAGUGGCAAGACAAUACAGAACGUCAACAGCAACACAGGGGCUCAGCUGGCAAAUACCUUCCCUAGUUUAACGAGUGAUGGAGGAAGCGUUGUCCACGAAGCGCUAGCAUCUGAGCACUCGCUGAGCUCUUCCUGGGUGGAGUCAGAAUCUUACUGUCAUCCUUAUUCGAUGGUUUCUCUUCUGCUAAUGAUUUUCGUCUGGGAGUCUGAACAUGGGAGAAUCAACAAAGGUUAUUUACUAAACAUGCUGCAUGGACAUAAGACAUUAAUAGGGGCACUGAUGAGUUGAAGCAAUACUACAGUCUACAUGUUCCUAACAAGAGACACAUAUGGUCAGGUUCUUGAUCAUAUAUUGAUGAAAACGUUCAGAAUUGAUGUUGUUGAUCCUACAUUGAUGAAAACUUCACAAGUAUUAUAUACCCAUGCUGUAUAUGACAUGGCAUUGUUGACACUUACCGAAGAGCUUCGAUUUUCAGACUUCUUUUCAGCUUUGGCAGGCUUUGAAUCCGAAUUGCCUUUGUCCUUUGCAUCUGCUUUCCCUUCCCAGCUUCUUCUCAAGGCCUUGGGCCCAGAUUCGAAGCUCAACAAGGUGUUACUAAUGGAGUUACCCAGGGAGGACUUCCUCCCUGCCGUAGUGGCCUUCAACACAGACGCAGCCUUUUCUAGCAAGGACAGCCUUGACGGCGGCGAUUUCUCUGCUCCUUUGGUUCUCACUCUCUGUUUCAUGUCACUCGAGAAUUUAUCGAACGACGCAGGCAGAGAAUGGGCGCUGGUCGGGGAAGACGGCGUCGACCUAGCGCUGGUUGAUUUUGCCUUCGAGCUAACCACGUCCUUCUUGUCCGAGAGGAGGCCAUUGAGCGCCUGUUUCGAGAGGUUGGAGUUCGACUUGCGACAGGGCACCGGCAUCCUUGGAACUACCAUUGGUGGAGGAGGCUUGGGCGGCCUUGCCGCUGCCAAGAAGAAAAGUGGAGGAGCUGGUCACCACAAGAUCCUCCGGGCUGCCGACGCAGGCAUGGCGGCCCGGGACCGGCCUGACCCCCCUGAGGAUCGGCACCGGGGUGGCUGCCUCGAGACGGUCGACAUGGACGAACUGCCCCAGCUGGAUGACGUCGCUGAGGAUGAGGUCGUGCUGCUCGUCCGGCAGCGACACGUAGGUGGCGUGCGACGAGUCGGACACCUUGAGGUAGAACCCCUGGUUGGUGAACAGGUCGCUCCCGGCGAGCGCGGGCACGAUGCUGACGACCUGGAGCAGCGACGACCGGUGCUCGCCCGCGACCUUGACGUCGCUGUUCAUGUGCUGCAGGAGCUUGAGGAGGACCCCGGGUACCAGCGACGCCAUCGCUGCAGCUCCUAGCGCCGCAUUUACCUGCGCAGUGUUGAGCCCUGGUUCAGUAACCCCACUCCAAUAUGUAGGCUAAGCAGUGGAGCCUUCUGAGAGAACAAUGAUGUUGUCGGUAGCCAUGGCAAAAGCGGAUCACUCCAAGCUACCUAAUGCAAAUAAAGGCUGCGCGCGCGCGGCUUUACAACCAGAGCAGCAAAUCCAGAUGAGCAUGUCGGUAGCCUUGGCGAGCGAAAUGAGCAACAAGUUCAGCCAACAGCAAAGGCAGAGCACAGUGCCGUAAGGAGGAGGAGGUGAACUAGUAAAGAGGUGUACUAGAAACGGUGGCUACAAUGAGUAAGGACGGCGUUGUUCGUCGCAAGGGCAUUCAAUUGGGUCCGGAAAGGGAUACGGGUACUAGCGCAUGGCCGCCAGUCUCGACUCUAGAGACGAGAAGGUGAUGGGAGUCGAGACGAGAAGACGAUGGGUAAGGAGGAGGAGAAGCAAACACACCUCGUGAUGGACUGCCGAAUCCCGCAAGGCCCGAUCCCUUCCUCCGGCCUCACUUCGGUCUGCUCUUCUUCAGUCUCUUCUUCGUCCUCCUCUCAACGCUCGCCCUGAGUCGGCGGCUGCUGCAGGCGUGCGGCCUACGAUCUUUGAAAAGCGCGGAAGGCUUUCCGCUUCCUGCUCAGGGAGAAGAAGGAGAGGGGGAGGGUCUCUCCUGCUGGCCUUGUCGCAUCCAGGACAGGAAUCCCCGCCGGUUGGCUGCAGGAGGCGGUGACGACUGACGAGAUGAACCAACCAGGAGGCGACGGUGUCCUCCUCUCCUGGACCCUGGUGCGUGCGCGCUGGGAGCCUGGGAGGCGUGGUGCUUCUCUCUCCUCUCCUCUGCGCGUGCUCGCUGUCUCUCUCUAAAAAGCAGAGGAGGGUCGCACGCGAGGCAGGGCAGGCUGCUCCUGCGCCGGCGAGGACAGAUGGCAACUGUGCUGUGGAAAAGCUGCGUGGAAAGGAGCCAAGGAGGUGCGGGCCCCGCCGACCCAGUGUCCGCGGGCGGCCUUGUGUUGCGGUGAGGCGUCGCUUUCGACGGAGGAGGGUAGUAAACUGGAGUGGAGUUCCAAGUAUGGGCAGGUCAGUCGAGGAAGCCCCAAAACCUUCUUUAUUAUUAUUUUAUUAUAAAUUCAGUUGCAAAA